rnacentral:rRNA from 1 species
AUACGGAGGGUGCAAGCGUUAUUCGGAAUCACUGGGCGUAAAGGACGCGUAGGCGGGUUGGCAAGUCAGAUGGGAAAUCCUACAGCUUAACUGUAGAACUGCAUUUGAAACUGCUAACCUAGAGUAUGGGAGGGGGAGAUGGAAUUAGUGGUGUAGGGGUAAAAUCCGUAGAUAUCACUAGGAAUACCGAAAGCGAAGGCGAUCUCCUGGAACAUAACUGACGCUAAGGCGUGAAAGCGUGGGGAGCAAACAGGAUUAGAAACCCUAGUAGUCC